GGUUACGGCACACCUGGCGCCACUAUCAAGAACUGGGUUACGGUGACAGACUUGCCUGAAUAAUCUAACUUUUUUGGGUUGGAAGUAAUUAAAUCAUAGCUACAUCACUCCCCAGAUCAAGGGGGAAUCACCGACCAGAUUUCAUCACAAUCAAUUCAUUCUUUUCCUUGAAAGGCGAACACACACGAGCAGUGUGUUCCAGCUAACUUCAAAUGGAAAGUAUUUACAUUCCGUCCGUAAGGGUGAAAAGAAAGCAUCAUUCGCAAGCAAUAUCGACUGUUUAGUGAGGUCUCAGGGUGCAGGAAGACCAUGGCAUGGGACAGAGGGUAUUUAAAGCUGAGGAGAGCGGUUGUGGUGGUCACUUUCAGACAGGAAGCGAAGGAGAGACCAGUAUUAGAAGCAACGUUGAGAUGCGUCGCUUGGUGCUCGUUUUCUGUGCAAUGGUGCUGGUGGCUGCGGUGCACGAUGCUGUGGGUGACAGUGCAUCUGAGACACGGUUUGCUAGAUCAGUGAUUGGGGUCGUUUACCAUGGUAAACCUUCAAAGAGUGCCAACACAGGGGCAUUGAGGAGCAAAGGAAGAAAACGUCCGCGCAUUAUUAAGGGACGCCCCUAUUUAGUGUAUGCCAGAAAGUGAUGUGAAAUGUCAAGAUUAUGGCAACGGGGCACGAAUGAAGAGCAGGAUCAAGACUUUUUUUUUUUGCCUUUUUUUUUCUACAGCCGUUCAAAAGGCCAGGGGGAAAUCCUUGAGCCACCUGGUGUUUGUAAUAAAUACCACAUACGAAUGUUACAAUAUCGGUAUGGUUAAAAUGUGCAGGUGUGUAUGCAGGUGUGUCUGUUGAGUGACGUGGGGAUACAAGGCUGGUGAAUUAAAUGGGCAGGUGUGGUAUUGUUUUGUUUGCUCUUUUAUCUGUCUGUUUAUUUAUUCAUUUAUUUAUUUUUCUUCUUUGCUUGAGUUUGAUUUGUGUUCUCGUUAUUGUUUGUUGGUUGUUCAAGUUACUGUUCUGUUCCUGCUCUUGUCAUAAUAAAGCGGUGAAUUGUU